rnacentral:rRNA from 1 species
UACGAAGGGGGCUAGCGUUGCUCGGAAUCACUGGGCGUAAAGGGUGCGUAGGCGGUCGGAUAAGUCUGAUGUGAAAUCUUCGAGCUCAACUCGGAAACUGCAUCGGAAACUAUUCGGCUGGAGGAUUGGAGGGGAGACUGGAAUUCUCGGUGUAGCAGUGAAAUGCGUAGAUAUCGAGAGGAACACCAGUGGCGAAGGCGAGUCCCUGGACAACACCUGACACUGAGGCACGAAAGCUAGGGGAGCAAACAGG